AAGACAGACGAAGAGCCAGGUUGGAACGCCACCAGAGGACCCAGGAGCGUGUGGCUAAAGCACUAGCUGAGAAGAAUGAGAGGGACCUUCAAACUCAGAGGGAACAAGCCGAGAGACAUUGGAUUGCGGAAACACUGGAUGCUGAGAUCAAGCGUUGGGCUUCAGGGAAAGAUGG